UUAGAAGUUGAUAGUUUAAUAAUUUCAAAAUUAACUGAUGCGGGUUAUCCUCUUGGACUUUUCCAAGGUCAAAGCGAUAAAAUGGUCCGGUUGUUUAUGAAUGAGAAUUGUUGUUGGCUAAGCUAGACCAACAGUUGGACCUUUUAAUACUUUUAUGGCUGAUGUUUGAAGAUGGUAGUGGUACUUUGUUUUUGUGGCAGAGUAGACUGAAAUGAUAAGUUUGUAUUGUCAUUGGCAUGACUCUCAAGCUUUUAAAUUUUGAAAUUUGAUUGGAUGGAGUUUGUGCUGUAAUGGGUUAUGAAUAGUUUGCACUUUUCUUUAAGAGGAAAGUUUUUAGUUUAUAAGCACCAUUUUGCUUGAUAAAUCAGGUGUUGCAGUCUUAGGCUUUUAAUUUUUUGUCUUGUUUGAACUUCGUUAGGCUGACUCCCUCUCUCUCUGACUUACAAGCAAUAUUUUAUUUUAUUUUUAAUUUGUAUUUAUACAGAUACCUUCCUGAACCGAAUGACAUGAAAGUUCUGGAUCUUGCCUAUUCAAUUUAUUUGAAGUUUGAAGAAUAUCCCAAUGCUCUUCGAAUUGCAUUGUUCAUGGAUAAGCUGCAGGUGUGACACUGGAAUUUUGUCAGUCUGUCUUUAAAAGUAUUUCUUUAACUGUGUAUGCGAAGAAGGUGUUUACUUCUUGCAAUGAUGUGCAUCAAAAGAAGCAAUUCUGUUACAUUAUUGCACGUCAUGGAAUUGCUUUUGUGCUCGACAUAGAAAUGGCUGGAAAUGAAGACGGCAGAGAAAUGUUGCAGGAUAUCUUAUACAAUUCUAAGUUAAGUGAAGGAUAUCUAGCUCUUGCUCGUGAUCUUGAAGUCAUGGAGGCCAAGUCCCCUAUGGAUAUAUACAAGCUAUUUUGAAGAUUGGCUUUUCAAACACGAGGAACACGGGAGGACUAGUGCUGUAGCAUGCCUGGGUAUGAUUUCGAUUUCACUCUGGGAUGUUGACUCUGGUCUGGCACAACUUCGCAAGUGCUUUCCCAUGAAAGAUGUGUAUGGCAUGAAAUAAAUAAAUGAUUUUUUUGGUGGAUAUGCAGUAUAAAAGUCUCUUAGAACCUGAAUGUUUAUCAUCAUUGACACUUUCGGCGCUUUCCGAACUGCCCAACAAGUGGUAUUAGAGUCAUGGUUAGACUCGUCAAAACCGCGGGCGUGGUAUUUUGGCCAUGGAUGAAUCCAAUGCUACAUGUGGAAAGCGGUUGGAUUCAAUUGGACUAGAGAACACCGAAGCUAAUCGUCAAGCAUGGCGUAAAAUUAUAU